GGAAGGGUCCAUGGUCCAUAUUCUGUGUUUUUUACCUGCAGGCAUUCAGAAGGGUGACCGAGUGGCCAUCUACAUGCCCAUGAUCUUGGAGCUCGUGGUGGCCAUGCUGGCAUGUGCCCGCCUGGGAGCUUUGCACUCCAUUGUGGUAGGAGUUUGGGCUAGUGAAAAGGGGUUAUAGAGGGGGACAGGGCUCUGAAGAAGUAGGUUGGGCCUGGAUAACAGAAGAUUGUAAAUAACAAACUAAGGAGCUUAGAGUGUUUGUGUCAUAGGUCCAACUCAGUUAUUCAGGACCCUGGCUUAGAGAUCCUAAGUGUUUCAUGAGCAACUUCUUUCCUUGUUCACUCAAUCUCUGGGACCUCCCUCUCUCCCUCAGUUUUUCUUUCCUUCCCUAGUUUGCAGGCUUCUCUGCAGAGUCUCUAAGUGAACGGAUCCUGGAUUCCAGUUGCAGCCUUCUCAUCACUACAGGUGACUAAUUUUCUCACUCCUUCUCCAGAACCCCCCACACUAGAGUCUUGGUCUUUAAUAAGCUUGUUGGUUCGGAGCUGCUCAGAAUGGAAGGUGGGCACUGGCCUGCCUUUCCUCUCCUGUCCUCACCUCAGCUGACCUUCUGUCAGCCCAAAUCAGCUGGAAGAGCGAGUCAAGAGGCCCACUCAGGAAAGGCCCUAAGUACAUUGUGC
rnacentral:lncRNA from 1 species